UACGUAGGGGGCUAGCGUUGUCCGGAAUCAUUGGGCGUAAAGAGCGUGUAGGCGGCCCGGUAAGUCCGCUGUGAAAGUCGGGGGCUCAACCCUCGAAUGCCGGUGGAUACUGUCGGGCUAGAGUGCGGAAGAGGAGAGUGGAAUUCCUGGUGUAGCGGUGAAAUGCGCAGAUAUCAGGAAGAACACCCGUGGCGAAGGCGGCUCCCUGGGACGGUACUGACGCUGAGACGCGAAAGCGUGGGGAGCGAACAGG
rnacentral:rRNA from 1 species